rnacentral:tRNA from 1 species
GCGGCGGUGGCGGAGGCAAUUUCGGGGUGACGACGUCGAUGACGUUGUCCACCUUUGCGACGGCCGACAGCGACGUCGUGCGGCUCGACUUCCCGCCC